UGCAUCUGAAGCCUGACGAGGAUGAGAACCUCCGGGGGCAAGAGGUUCGACUCGAGCGCAGCGAGAGAACGUUGCGUCAGCAACGGCCCGCAGGGCGAGCCAUCCUCUAUCACCGGCAG
rnacentral:sRNA from 2 species